GUUUCAAACUUGAUACCGGCCCUGGAGACGAGUGCAGUCUUGAACUGGAGGGAGGGUGCUGGCCCAAAGGUGGGUACUGGCCCGACCGUGGGCACAUAGGAGAGUGAAGGAGGUGAAUUGAGGUUGUGAGGUUGCGUCUAAAGACUGGGCGCGUCAAAAUUGUCAAAGACAGUAAAGAAGUUUUGGGCGAGCCCUCAGUAGGAAACUAAAGGCGGGUUUCAGCUGCUUCUAACCAGGUUUCCCACACCUUUGUUUGUGUGUGUGUGUGUGUGUGUGUGUGUGUGUGGCGAUUCUGCUCAGGAAAUUGGCGAAAGAAACAGACCUUCACAAUUGCUCACCGUCCCCUGCGCUCGCCACCCAGGUUACCUCGCGGCGCAUAUUAGGAUGUGGGCUCCAGUUUGAGCUCCAAAAUAGCUUGCUUGUCAAUUGCGAGCUGAAGCAAUAUCAAAGUGAACUGUCCCAAGUAACUCUUGUCUAGAAGCUGGGAAGAAGCUUAAGCAGCUCGCUUUAAUGAUGAUUUGUAGCUCGGCGAGGGGCACGGACAGCAAACACCCCGCAGGUGUGUGCCGUAACACCAUCAUCCGGACUUGAAUGUAGAUUACUCUGGCGAUCGUUUGAUCGGCCCUUUGAAACCCUUUACAAUUGCCUGUGACGAACGGCCAGUCUCAGUUUUUCUCUGAAUAAUGCCUUGAGGGUAAGUCCUCUGGGCUUUUAAAGAGCUCCAGUUUUUUUGUUUUUUUUUUUUUCCAGAAGAAAAAGAAAAACGUUCGAUUUUAGUUUAGACCUCGUCAACUUUUAGUCGCUAACAGGCUUCACUCAAGCCAGUCAAUACUUAAUGACUUACCUUUGCCUUUACGGUCGUCUCAGAAGCCAAAUAUGCUUGCGCGCACACACACACACACACACACCCCAGAUAUCUACGUGUGUUAAUAACUUUAUUCUUUUUAAUAUUGUAAUGUAUAUAUGUGCAUUGCAUUAAUAAAAAGAACAAAGAACAAAAGUUAUAAUAUCCUUGGUUUUUUUGUUCCAAACUAUUUCAUUUAUGCAUGAUUGGAUGGGAGUUUAGUAUAAACACACAUUAUUAUUAUUAUUAUUAUUAUUAAUACUGUCCUUAAUCUUGUUGUAAUACUGUUUUCUAUACAUUCAGUGAGAAUUUAACUUAAAUGUUAAAGUUUUCCAAAGUAAAACCCUGGAGUUUUACACCUCAACACCCUUACACCAACCUCCAUCACCAAAAUGAAAAAGGUAGUGCUGUUCAACCUUUAAUAUUUACUUAGAGUAUUUAUACAAGGGGAGGAAAAUGAACUUUUGUCUGAAACGUAAAACAAGCGGCACUUUGAUUGCAUAAAAUAAAUGUCAACAAUUGCAAGGGCUUAUCAAACUAGGGUGGGGGUGGGGGUGGAAUGCAUUUGAAUUAAGGCCCAUUCCUGCCACUUCAGACUACAAAGGGUUACACAUAAAUAAGUGCCGAAUUUGCCUAUUGCAAAAGUUUUCUUCCGUGCUUUCUAAGUCACAACAGGGGAGGGGGAAAGCUGUCGUUUAUUAUCCAGCUCUGGGCAGGAGCAGACCUCAGUACCAAGGGGCUCUUAGCUUUGGCCAGCAGAAGAGGGGUAGCCUUUCAACAGCAGCCCCCUUUGUUCUCCUGAUCUCUUUCCCAAUUUCAAGCUUCACUUGCACAUCCCAAGUUUGUGUGUUAAUGACGCUAUUACCAUCUGGCUCGCCCUACUUUCCAAAAGAUAUAAAUCUCCCAGCUCCAUUGCCUGCAUUAUCAUUUAAGUGCCACCAUAGCCAGAAGAAAAAGAUGCUUUCAAGGCUCCAGAUUCUCUUGCACUGACUACCCCUGGCAUGGCUUUUCCACUAUAUUUAUAGAUUAUACAUUGGGGGUGGGAGUGCUCCUUGAAAGACCUGAUUUCCCAAGAUCUGUCCCUCCAAGCCAAAGAAGGCAUGUCACUAGGUGGAAGAAAGCCUUCAAAUGAAUUUCCCCUGAAAACAUUUUUGUUUUAUUUGCAGCAGGCAGAACAUAUGUGCCAACAGACCUUUCCAUGCUUGUGCCAUCCUCUUAAGUUUGUAAAAUUCUCAGUGCAACUCCCAGACAUUCAAUAUGUUCCACUGCUCAACCCUAUUUUCAGUGGGAGAAUAGAUUUGUCUCUCUAUGGGGAUGGGGGCAGGGGUGAACAAAUAAAAAGAGAUCUGUGAAGUAACUUUGGGGAGCUGGGCAUCCCUUCGGAACUCUAGUUUUUAAUAGUGCUUGCAUAGAUGGGCGGAUAUCCUACGAUUUCUACACUUCUAGCUGUAGAUCUAGAUCCACCUCUCUUUUCUCCAUUCUUUCCUGGGCAAAGUAAUUGGUGAUUUGCGUGUUUUGAGCACAAAAGCUGAGAAAACACAACAAAAGCAGUGGGGUUGGCUUGUGCAUGGCUCCACAAUGACUCCAUUUAUCUGGCCAGGUCGGAGUGAAUAGAGCGGAGCAGAGUCUCCCUCCAAGCGCGUGGGCUUUUGGUUCAGGCCCUCACUGAUUUGAACAGCUAAUUUCCCCUUUGCAGGUUUCUGAACUGUUUGUGCUUCUGGACCAUCAGAUCUGGGUACAUGUCUCCCUUUGAGAUUCCCUCCUUUCUUCCCCGUGUUAUCUUCAUGGAGGUGAGUUCUACUAAGAUAAAGUCAGUCCAACAGGUUGGAAAAACCGGAAAUGUAUACUUGCCAGGUUCUUAAGUGAAGCUCUUAAAAUGAGCAACAUUGGGACAGCGCCCCCCCCACCCCAUCCCCACCUCACCUUUAAAAAAAAAAUCUUGUGAGAGAAAGCAUCUUGAAGGAAAAAUGCAUUUUGUCCUGAGGGAUGAAAAAAAAUCACUUAUAUAUUCCUAAUACUGUAUAUGAGGUGAACACAGACGGUACCCCAAACAGUCAUUAAUUCACAUCAUACUUGUGUAGCUGUUUGCCUGCAAAAGCCAUAUUUUUCUUUCCAGUUCACAUUUCUGCCUUUUUUCCCCUCCAAAUUCAAAAAAGAUCUUGUUUAGAAAUUUGUAUCCCUACUUUUUCCUUUUGAGAACAUUAUCGAGUUGAUAUGAACAAAUUGCAGAGGAUAUACCAUUUAAGUAAGAUGCACUUUUAAUCACUGAUCAUUAAAAUGGUUAUGUUAAAUAUACUCAAUUACAUGCAUGACUUAACUCUAACAGUACUUUCUAUUCUCCCAGCUGCUCACGUAUUCCUUAACGAUAGUCUGCGGUAGAAACUUGAUUAUGCUGAAUCCAUACAUUUCGAUGGAUUUCAUCAGCCUAAUUAAUGCCUCAGUGUGGUCCUAGGGUCUGAAUGAACCUUUUACUGUCAUUUGAGGUUAAAGGCAGUGUUGGAAUGUAUAGUUUCUUUCUUUUUUUUUUUUUUUAGUUAGUUACUCAUAGGGUACUUUGGUAUUCUACUAAGCAAGGUAGAUAGCAAUCAUUAAGCAGAAAGACUAUGUGAAACAAGGAGAUCGUUCCAAAUGGCAGAAAAAUUAGGCUACUUCUUUAUCCUUAUUUCUACAUCCAUUUUUUCAAACUUCCAUACACAAUCUCCAAAUGUUUAGUAAAGUAGAAAUUACCACCUCUCUAUUACAUCUGAAAACUGGACUGAAAAGGAAAAGUUGAAAAUAGAUUCACAACUGUUGGCUAAAAAUUCAUUUCUUUUUACUCAUCAAAGCUGUCUCUGCUCCCUCUUUUCUUUCUGUUUCUCAAACUUUUAUACUCUAGUCCCCCCUCCAUUUCAAUUUAUCUUUCUCAAGGAAAUACUCCUGGCUGGUAUUCAUAAGAAACUCAAGUCACCUCCCCCCACCCUCAAGAGUGACUACAUUCUGUCUUUUCAGGUGUAAAUUACCAUCUGAAUACAUCUCAACCUUACUGACCCCUACCAUCACCACCACCCCUGCCUCAGCCCAGUUGAAGCUAAUCUGCCCCUCCAAGAACUGGCAGGGCAGACAGAGGUCGAAUUUCCCAAGCCUCACCAGCUAGUAAAAAGGCUUGUGUUGCCUCUGAGAAAAGUCCUGACACAUGUCCAUGUCUAAAGAGACACCUGUGGAAGAAUUCCUUUUAAGAAGUAUUUUCUUGUUGGCUAAGGAGAGAAGGAAGAAAAAAGAUGGAUCUUUAUUUUUUUAAGAAAUGUCCUAACUCAGGCAAGUGAAACUUGAAACUUUUGCCUGUCUUGAGUCCUCAAAGACUAACUAUUUACCCCAGUACAACUUCCUUCCUGUAGGGGAUCCACUGACCCAGAUCCUGGUUGCAGCAGGGCAGCACCACACUGAUCUGAUGGAACCAGAAGGAUUUCAGAUCUAUAACCAAAUUACCACCUUGGAACUUUGUGCUUGUUAUGCUAAUGACUUCUGUAAGUAAGGGCAUAUUUUCAGGGUUGGAAAUGAGCUUUUUAUAGUGUCUUGGGUAAUGACAGACAUUAUAGAAGAGAUAAAUGCUCCGGGAUUGGUGGUACAACACUCCUGGUAAACACUGUGGGCCAUUGAAAACCAUAAAUGGAGACCUAGAUGUGUUUGAAAAAAUUAAGCUGAAAAUGAGCUCAGGGGACUGGGUGAGAAGGUAAAUGUUGCAAGGGUUAAGAUGCUCUUGCAACUUCUACCUUUUCUUAGACUGAGAUGGGAUUCAGUUAUUUCUCAUAAUUGUAAGCAAGGCAAAUUCAUACACCGAUCAAAUAUCCAAGAAAACUCCUUUCAUCAGUUGUCUGUCCUUGAUGAACAUCAGUGCUCAAUUACUCCCAGCCUGGAUAUUGUGUGCCUAUUUCUUUCCUCUCCCCAGCUCCCUCCACGAAUGAUAGUUGUUUCUGAAACAAGUGACUGGGUUCCUGUAUGGGCCUUGGCCCCUCCUGUAUGAUACAGGUUCUAAAUGUCAACUUGCAGCUGUGGAGAAGCCUGUGAACUAUGAUAAAGGAUAAACUCUGCUGUGCAAACAGUCCUGUUUACGGCUAAAGCAAAAUUGCCACAAAAUAGCCUAAAUGAGUUGGGGGCUUCUAAGAUCUUAUGAAAUGAUGCUGACUUGGAAUGUUGGAUUUUAAUAACAGCUAAAAUUGUCCCAUUUUCUUCCAGAGUUAAAUAAGAGCAAAAUACCUGGCUUAAAGAUACAAUGGUUCAGUAAGGACAACUAAAUUAAUUAUAGGAGACUGUUAGUCCAAGGAUCUUAGUGAUGGAGAUGUGGAAGAUACAGGCUCCAACAGCCUUAGUUUUUAGAAAAGACACCUUUCACACAUCCAUGCUUUGAAGUUAUAAACGGUAUGGCACCCUAUAUGAUUCCCCACCUAAUGUAUUUUCUUCACAUAGAUCCAUGUAGGUUCAGGGUAACUAACAUUUGCUACACUGACUCUGUCAGGGUAAAAUCUUGAAACAGAAUGUUUUACCCUUGGUAUGUAAAUGCCAAGGCUAGGGGCUUUCUCAGCAAGGUUCUUCUAAGACAAAUUAACAUGUUUAUUACAUAAUCCAGUCUGUCAAGUGCCAUAGAUUCCAGAGUAGUUCUAACUGGUAACACUUUUUUUUUUUUUUAAAUGCCCUCUAUUGUAGGGCAUGGGGGCAAACACCUGUAAUCCCAGCAGCUCCAGAGACUAAGGCAGGAAAAUUCCAAGUUCAGGGCCAGCCUCAGCAACUCAGCGAAGCCCGAAGCAACUUAGUGAGACCCUGUCUCAAAAUAAAUAAUGAAAAGUGUUGGGGAUGUGGCUUAGUAGUUAGGUACCCCUGGGUUCAAUCCCCAGCCCAAAAAUAAAUAAAUAAAUAAAUAAAUAAAUAAAUCUCUUUAGUAAACAAGUUAUUGAGUUGAGUAGAGAAUAAUGUGUCAUAAAUAAAAUGGAAAGGAUGGGGACACUGAUAUUUUCUUGCUCCUGCAUGAUAUGGUAGCAUUUGUGCAUAGCAGACUAUAAAGACAAGGCUGAGAGAAUAACCCAAAACAGGGACAUUGAGGCAGAGAAAUGACUUGCUGUAGUUUUAUGGGUUGUGUCAUUUAUUUCUUUAUUUGGUACCAGGGAUUGAACCUCAGGGGCACUCAACCUCUGAGCCACAUCCCCGGCCCUAUUUUGUAUUUUAUUUAGAGACAGGGUCUCACUGAGUUGCUAAGCACCUCACCAUUGCUGAGGCUGACUUUGAACUCAUGAUCCUCCUCUCAGCCUCCUGAGCCACUGGGAUUACAGAUGUGUGCCACCAGGCCUGGCUGAGUUGUAUUAUUUAUUAUUAGAUAUGUUUGAGUAUUUUUUGAACUGAAGGAUUUAUAUACCACAGCUAUUCUGAUCAUGAUAAUGGAGAUGAUCUAGAGCUUCUAAGGACAGGCUUUGAAAUUGUUGGGACUUCAAGUUGGGACUUCAAAAUCCAGACCUGAAUUGCUCAUUGGUUUGGGGAAGAAAACACCAAUUUGAAAUUCUGUUAUAAAAACUCUAUGACAGCAAACAAAGUUAGAUGAGCUUACAAAUAGCUUUGGAUCUCAGAUCCCAACACGUUGGCUCUUGCACUUGUAUAUGAAAGAAGAAAGGGAACACCUGACCUCUAACAGAGAAAAGCUGAUUCCCUAUCCCUGUCCUCAGCAGGAUAGUCUCAGCGAUUCAUAGAGGCUGCAAAAUUUGAGGCUGUCUGAGUUGUUUUAGUCUCAUGUCAUACAAACAGCACAUUUUCAAACUCAGAAAUGCCAGAUCGUGUUAUUUCUGUGGCCAGGGGUUGCUUAGGAUCUGUGACAGCUGAGUUUUUCCUAUCGAUUAUGUGACAAUGCAGUUCAUUUAUAGAGUUCUGAGAAAUGAGAAAAGCCUCCAGUUUAACAAGAUCCUUAUUUCAAGUGCCGUGUUGUAUUUAAAUGCAGGAAUCAACAUUCAAGCUGGAGAGAAGGGAGAUGAAUUAAAAUCUGAACCCAAACAUUUGUAGUAAAAUCAAAAUCCCAGGAGGACUGUCACAGGUCAUUUAAUUUCAAGCCUUUUGAUUGGUAACUGGAUUUGUUGUUAGAAAUCAUACCUUAUAUGAUAAAUGCCUAUUGAGGUCAAUGUAUGUGUUUAAAAUUACUCCUAAAUUUAGAACACAGACUGAAUCGAAAACAUGAAAGACAAAUCAAGGGGCACUGUCCUGGGGGGUGAAGGGGAGGGGGAUUGUUUGUUAGAGGGGACUAUUUAUAGAAGCACUAACUCCAAAAUACUUUAAAAGUUCUUAAUGUAAUAUUCAUACAUUCUUCCAAUGUAUCUAUAGAUAAAAACAUCAUUUUUAUCUUGUAUAUUAAUUCCUAGUAAUUUUCUCUAUCAUAGGAUACAGUCAGUCAUGCAGAAGUAAUCAGAAGUCCAACAUAUUCUAAGGACCCAGAGUUUCAGACCAAAAAAAAAAAAGAAAAAGAAAACCUAUGUAAUAUCACUGUAAAUCCAGAGUGUUUGAGACCAGGGACAGAAGUUUCCCUGCAGGUUUUGUGAGGAACAGGGAAAAAGAGAGCCAGAGCAAGGACCAGAGAGGUCAAACAGUGCCUGCAGUCCUGUGUAGAACACACUCCCUAGUCAGAGGGGUGGGGCAACACAGGAUAACUGCAGCCUGGGCUGUGGCCUGCACCCUGCUCACCCCAUGGCAGUUCUUGAAUUUCUUAUUUUUUUGCCUGAAAGCCAUCCAGCAUGUCGAAGGCAUGAAUAUUGACAAUUUUGUCAGCAUGCGUUUAUCACUGGCAAUAACUUUUCAUGAAGUUUCACUCUCAGGUGCUAGAGUUGGGGGAUUAGGAAACUGGUAGUUGGGACAGCAUGGUCCUGUGACCUGCUUUUUAUUUAGGAAUGACCCAAGCAGGCAGAAGAAGGAAAAGACCCUUUAAUCCCACUUCAGCCACCCCAAUACACAGGCCAGGUGGACCCUGAGGCUCUAAAGCCAUUAAGUAAGUGUUAGGUUUGGUUUGCUUUCUGUUUCCUAUUUGUGGAUGUAGACAGGAAUGACUCUCAAAGGCCCAGGGCCAGAGCCCUCAGAAUAAUACCUUUGCCUUUUUGUACUUCCUCUUUCCCUCUUCUUGUUGGGUAGGUUGUGGUGGUCAAGAGUCAGGGCUGUCCCUUAGAUUGGGCAGCUGGGGCAGCUGCUGUGCCUUGCCCUUCUUUUCUGAUAAUCGUUAAAAUUCAAUAUCAAAAUUUCAGGCUUGAAUAGUUUUCUAAGAGCCUGUGGAGGAUGCUCAAAAGGUGGGCCUCUUUUCAAGUGGCAGCAGGCAAACACCAGUCAGGUGGCCCCAGGCUGGACCCUUCAAACAGGAGUCCUGUGGAUGGUACCUAGAAUGGAGUUCUGUAUCCACCAGAUUGAGAAAACAGCUCUGAAAAAAGUCUUGGGGAAAAAAAAAAGAAAGAAAGAAAAAGAAAAAGGCCAAGAAGUGGGCAAGGCCCCCAGCUCUUCCUUCGUUGGCACUCUUCCUGGAGCACAGCCUGGCUGAAUCCUAGGGUAGAGCUCAAGGGCACUUCCAAGGAGAAAAUUAUCAUUCUAUUUUUUUUUUUUUUUUGGUACCAGGGAUUGAACUCAGGGGCACUUAGCCACUGAGCCACAUCCCCAGCCCUAUGUUGUAUUUUAUUUAGAGACAGGGUCUCACUGAGUUGCUUAGCACUUGCUGUUGCUGAGGCUGGCCCUCUGAGUCUCUGGGAUUACAGGCAUGUGCCACUGUGCCUGUCUAAAAUUCUCAUUCUUUAAUCUCACAGUUCCUCAUACACUUCCUCCUCUCCGUUCAGCUCACUGUUUUUUUUUAUCCUUGAUUCUAAAAAAAAAAAAAAAAAGUGUGUGUAUAUCUGAGAGUUCGCCUGUACCAAGAAACUUCCCUGAACAUCUUUUUCCUGUGGGUGAAGUCUGCCAUUGGUCCAGAAACUAUCAGAGUGCUUUGAGAAAUGGAAAACCCACAUACAUGUGCCACAUAGGUCGCUAAGCCCUGACUGAAUGCUGCCCAGCAAUGUUCUUCAGACCUGACCUCGGAGUGGUGUUUCAUUCCCUGCUCUGAAAAUUUAACAUGUGGUUAAAGCCCUUAAAUGCCUUUGUCAACUAAUACCCACUUGAAUCUAUGCAAGGGAGGUAGCAUUGCUUUGAAAUUUAGAUGGGAGUUAAGGAUAACUUAUUAUUGCCUUCACCUCUUAAUCAUAUAUAACUGCCUUUUUAAAUACUAGUCUCCUUCCCUAGAAAGCCAUUGGCCCCUCAGCAUACUUAUCUGUUCUUUCCUCCUUUUAAAUUCUUAUCCAUGACCUACUUCUCCCCUGGGGUCCAGAGGCAAAUUUGUAGAAUUAAAUCGUGCUCUUUUCCAAUUUGCCAUAACAAGUUAGAAGGGGAAAUUUAGAACAGCAUUAAAAAUACACUAUACAGACAGUAAAUAUUACUUCUGAAUGUGAUUGACAAGUGGGUAUCAGCAAUUAGUUGCACAUUUUCUACAGGCUACUUCCCCCAUUCUACUGGGGACUGAACCCAGGGCACUGUACCACUGAGCUAUAUCUCCAGUUUUUUGUUUUGUUUUUUUUUCCUUUUUCUAUUUUUUUGUACCAAGGAUUGAACUCAGGGGCACUCAACUACUGAGCCACACCCCCAGCCCUAUUUUGUAUUUUAUUUAGAGACAGGGUCUCACUGAGUUGUUGAGUGCCUUGCCAUUGCUGAGGCUGGCUUUGAACUCCAAAUCCUCCUGCUUCAGCUCCCAGAGCUGCUGGGAUUACUGGUGUGUGCCACCAUGCCAGGCCCCUGUCUUUUUUAAUUUUUUUAUUUUGAGACAGGGUCUCCCUCAGUUGCUCAGGGCCUCACUAAAUUACCAGGGAUGGCCUAGAACUUGCAAUCCUCUUGCCUCAGCCUCUGGGUCACUGGGAUUAUAGGCAUGUGCUACCAUGCCUGGCUCUAUAGCCUUCUUUUUUACUUUAUUUUCAGGAUCCACUAAUCCUGAAGAAACAAGUUAAAUAGGAGUAAAUUAGACAAUGUUAAGCAUUAAGAUUACGACUGGUGAUCUUAUGUAGGUCAUGGUUAUUUGGACAGACUCUUCCAUAGCACUAGUAGCAGAGAUAAAGUAACAUGAAGAUACAUGUUUCUUGGUAUUAAAUUACCAACCUGGCACAACAGAGACACUCUGUCUGCUAAAAGAAAAUCAAUCAAUCAAUCAAUAUUUAGUAGCCGUAACAAAUAAAUAAAAACAAUUAGCUGAAGAAAUAAUAUUAACAACAUUUCUUUGUUAGCAUAAGAUAUAAGUUCCUGAAACAUUAUAUUCUGCACAUAUAUGAACAUGUCAAAAUGAACCACACUAUCAUGUCUAACUAUAAUGACUAAUAAAAACAAUUAAAAAUAAAUAAGUUCCUCUUCAUUUGGAAGCUUCUGAUUGCAGCUAUGAUAUUAUCAUUUUACUACCUGGUUUUAUGGUGUUUCUGCUUGCGUGGCAUCUCAAGUUGUAUCCUGGAGAAAUUGAAUGAAUUUUUAAAUCAAUCUGAAUUAUGGUCAGGGUUAUUCUGACUUUGUUUUCAAGGCUUUGAAUAUGUCUAUUGGAGUGGGUUUUUAAUAUUCUCUACCCUAGUGAAGAGGCUCCAUAGGCAAGAAAUGCCAAGUAGGAUCUAGGUUCUAGCUGAGGCUUCUAAGUAAUGUGUGUGUAAGGCAGUUCCUGCCUCUGGGCUUCAGACUUUGCAUAUGUAAAGUAAAAUUUUUGUAUUAGAUAAUCUCUAGGUCCCUUUAACUCCUAAACUCUGUGGUUCUGUAAUAUAGUUGUGACUAUUUAAUAUAAGGGGAGAUCCAAGUCUGACUUGCUGAAUAAAACACCUAUUUAUUUCCUAGUCCUUUUAGUAAGCAUUUAUAUGGAAAACUGAAAAAUGACUUUUGCUGUUUUUUUGGAGUGUGGUAGAUCUGAAUUUGAGUAGAGGAAACCAAGCUAAGAAAUUUGGCACUGCUUUCUUGUGUACAAAUGAACCAUGACCUUAUUCUUUAAUUUUUUUUUUUCCUUUCAGAUCCAACUUAGAAAUAUCGUUUCACUCAAGAUAAGGCUCGUGGUUUAGGAGAUUCUGGCCCAACUUGCCUCAUUCUCAGACUUCUGUCAUCUGUUUUCAAAACCCAAAGAGGACUUCUUUGUCCUUUGGUAGUUCCUCACACUUUGCCAGCCCCUGGUCCUUAAGGAAACUUGUCAAGAGCUCAGUGCCUGGGAAGGACAGUCCUAUCAUCACAAUGAGUCAGCACCACAGUCUCAGGGACUCACAGAACUGGAUGCCCACUUUGAAACACGAAGAACACACUAAUUGAAAGACCUAUGUAUAAUUGAAUGAUAUGGUGAGAUCGUCUCAAAUUAUUUCUCCAACCUCUCUCGUCAGUGGUUGUAUUAAGCUGAAGACAAGGGGAAAAAAUAAUUAUUCCUGAAUUGUAUUUUGGUUUAUUUAAAAAUUAAGAUUAAUAAAUACUUAAAUUUUAUGUCUAUCCCAUUUCAGGAACUGAUUGGUGAUAACAAAACAAUAAAAAUAUGUCACAGCAAAAUGGACAUUCAAGAUUAGUUUAAAAAUGUCUAUAAUUUCCUACAUUCUUUUUUGGAGUGACAGUUUCUACACUUCUAUAAUUCAUCUUUUAAAAUAAGACCCCUGUUGCUUUUUAAGAUGCAAACAAACCAUCCCUUCACCAUUACAAAUACUUGAUCAUUUGUGUGGGCACGUGCACACACACACACACACACACA
rnacentral:lncRNA from 1 species